rnacentral:lncRNA from 1 species
ACUUUCUUAGAACUAAGACUUUGGUUCUUUGCUUUAGUUUUGGCAGGUGGUGCUGUCUACAUGCUGAGUUCUGUGGCCUGAGUGGUACUUCCAUCGUGGACUCAGUUGUGCUAAGGAAGGUCUGCGGGCCUGUUACAAGGUGCCACCUCCAGCUUUCUACUGCCUCCCCAAUAAAGCCAACCAGAUUGUGAAUCCAUCAAUGAAUGGUGCAACCCACUGAUUGUUCUUAACUGGGUUUGGAUGUGCUGUUAAAUGAAAAGAGUGCUGUUCAUUGGUUCGAGGAGAAGGAGGAGGAGGAGGAGAAGGAAGAAGAAGAAGAAGAGGAAGAGGAGGAGGAGGAGGAAGAAGAAGAAGAAGAAGAAGAAGAAGAA